rnacentral:lncRNA from 10 species
AUCCCCGCAGGCGCUGGGUCUGCAGAUGGCGUCCAGGUACACAGUGGCGAGUGUGAUUCCGCAGUCUUGGGCUGUUUGGCCAAGCGCCCGCCGGACAUGGUACGCCGAAGGGUCAUCGGCGUGGAGUCCUCGCUUUCAGCGUCCGCGGCUGGGAAAUCGGCCAUCGCUACGGCGGGAACUGGGACUCGGGCUGCGUCCCGGCCCUUCCACAUCGGUCCACCGCACUCGUGGGCGCCCGCAUUGGUGCUGACAUAAUUUCCUGACCUCUGACCCGUAUUGUCUCGCGAUUAAAGGGCUGCGCCUGGAUCCCUCAGCAGUGAGGAGACCUGAAGACCAGAGGAAACACAGCAAGCGGAGCCUUGCUCUGUUGCCCAGGCUGGUGUGUAGUGAUCUCAGCUCACUGCAAGCUCCACCUUCCGGGUUCACACCAUUCUCCCACCUCAACCCCCGGAGUAGCUGGAACUACAGCCUCCUGCCACCACGCCUGGCUAAUUUUUUUUUUGUAUUUUUAGUAGAGACGGGGUUUCACCAUGUUAGCUAGGAUGGUCUCGAUCUGCUGACCUCGUGAUCCACCCGCCUCGGCCUCUCAAAGUGCUGGGAUUAAAGGCGUAAGCCACUGCGCCUGGCUGUUUUUUCAUUUCUAUUAUGAUUUGUCCUGUGGAAUGUCAGUGACUUAGCGGUAUUUUUAUCACACGUUUAUAAAGCUGAAUAGUUUUGUAUGUCAGCUCAGCACCCUUAGUGUCAGCCAUGCUAGUCUCCUGCUGUGCAUAGAUCGAGGCCUGUCCAUACCCGAAUCUCCUGGGUUCCCACUGUCAGCACCUGAAGGUACCCACCAGAUGUGUCUGUCACUUCCCUACAUCCACCUCUAUUGUGGUUCUCAUGUUUCUGCCUCCCUAGAGACCAUUUCUCUGUAGAGCAGCGCUUUCGAAUAGAAAUACAAUGCCAGACACAUAAGUUGUUUUAGAUUUUCUAGUAGUCACUUUAGAAAAGUUAAAAAGAAACAGGUGAAAUUAAUGUUUUAUUUCACCUAAAAUGUUAGCAUUAUCCAAAAUAUCACUUCAACAUCUUAUCAAAAUAAAAUUAUUAAUGAGAUUGGUUACCGUUCCGAUAAAUAGGUGAACUGAGAGCAUACACAGUAGUAUUCUGUUCUAAUUUCUGCUUCACUGUGAGUGUCUUGACAUAGUCUUAAAAGAGUAUUGCUGUGAAAUAUUAUACAUGUAACUCAUAACCUCUACAAUUCUGCAGUUGUAAUUGGUUGUCUUACCUAAUAAUCAGUUGCUUUGCUUCAUAAUAUUUAAAUUGGCAUCUCUAUUUUCCAAAAGGCAUAAAUACUAGUAUAGUUUUUUAGUUAAGCCAGGAGAAAGUUCACUUUAUUUACAUAACUUAUACGUAAAAAUUUAAUAAAUCUCCCUGCUUCUUUUCUUUUGCAUCAUAACAACCACUGAAAAUAAUAUUUCUAUGGCAGUUGGGGGUAAAUGGACAAUAGCUUUUGUGACCAGAGGUGAAUGGCCCAGGGUCUCCAGCACUCCAGGUCCCACUGAGCCUGCCCCACAGCUGAGGGCAUCGGUAUUUCCACACACCUAUAAUGUACAGUGCCCCAGAACAGAGAUCGGAUGCUCUGCUUUAUUCAGAUGGGGUGUUGAGAGUAUUGUCAUUGUAAUUGAAUUAGUAAGUAAGUAUUUAUACACUGUUAAAAUCUGGUUGGAUUUGUGUCCCUUCACAAAACAAAUUGCUUAAAUGAAACCACAGAGUUAACAUAAUUGACUACAUCUGCUUCUAUGAGCUGCUGUUCUAACAUUUAACUAGAAUCUAAUUUGAAAUUAGUCAAUAAAAAGUUUAUUCAACUGAAUUAUAUUUAGACUUUUUGUUGUUGUUGUUGUUUUGAGAUGGAGUUUUGCUCUUGCACUCCAUCCUGGACAACAGAGUGAGACUCCUUCUCAUCCAGGCACUCCCACUCCUCCUGAGAGAAAUCUACAGCCACAUCCCUGAACAUCAUCAACUGUUGGAAAGAAUAAUUCCAAGUAUUAAUGGGGCUCACCAGAGAAGACAGGGCAAGGUGAGGGGGAUCUCCUAGCAGAGGAAACAACAUGCGCCAAUCAAGCAAAGAUAUUUUUGUGCAUUCAAGGAACACAGAGAGGAAAGACAGUGGCAGAUGGAGACGUAUAAAGCAGGGAUCCUGUUAUGAAAAGCCCUAAAAAAUAGGGUAUAGAGUUUGGGCCAUAUUUCAGAGGUAAUAAGAAAGCAUUCUGCAUUUUUAAAGUAAGGUUUAAAAAUGUUUCUAAUUAGAGAUACAGCAAAGUUGGUGUGAGAGGAUAAAGACUGAUAUACAUAAUCUGAGGAGUUCAUGAAAAUUCCAUGUAAAGCCUGUAGUAUGAAUUGGUCCUAGGAGACAGACAGCUUCAGGGGCAUAGAGAACUUUAAGCACUUUUCCAAGAAGAGUGAAGGGCUGGAGAAUAAAUUGUGAACUAAAAUAUAUUUUGUGU